UUGAACGCUGGCGGAAUGCUUUACACAUGCAAGUCGAGCGGCAGCGCGGGGCAACCUGGCGGCGAGCGGCGAACGGGUGAGUAAUAUAUCGGAACGUACCCUGUCGUGGGGGAUAACACAUCGAAAGAUGUGCUAAUACCGCAUACGAUCUGAGGAUGAAAGCGGGGGACCGUAAGGCCUCGCGCGAUCGGAGCGGCCGAUGUCAGAUUAGGUAGUUGGUGGGGUAAAGGCUCACCAAGCCGACGAUCUGUAGCUGGUCUGAGAGGACGACCAGCCACACUGGGACUGAGACACGGCCCAGACUCCUACGGGAGGCAGCAGUGGGGAAUUUUGGACAAUGGGCGAAAGCCUGAUCCAGCAAUGCCGCGUGCAGGAAGAAGGCCUUCGGGUUGUAAACUGCUUUUGUACGGAGCGAAAAGGCUCUCUCUAAUACAGGGGGCUCAUGACGGUACCGUAAGAAUAAGCACCGGCUAACUACGU
rnacentral:rRNA from 1 species